UUUCUAUGGUGAAAUAUGUAGCCAGGUCUCCAGCUGGGAGUGAGGAUGGAGGAGUAGAAGCUGGAGGUCUGUUGCAGCAUGAGUAGAGGCCCUCACUCUUGUUCUUUGAGAUUGCUUCUCAAAAUAAGUUAUCUGUAUACGAACCUUGUUUAAGACUCUGCUUUUGGAAGGCUGUGGACUGAAGACUAAGAGCAGAAAGGACUGCUGUAGACAUAUGCUAUGUGAAUUUCGGGGAAUUUAACAAAUUCAGCCAUUGCAGAAGAGAUGGGGAAGAAUGGACUAAAUUAUAGCAGAGUGGGGCAUCCCAACUACGAGUAUGUGAUGUAGUUCUUGUCAAAUGAUGUUAUAAGUUCCCUUUCCUGCUCAAACACAGCAAAGAAAGAUAAAAUACAGAAUGAAAGUUAAAAAGACAUGGCCUUGCUCAAGAACAAAAUAACUUCUUUGUCCAGCAAAGAAAGAACAGAAGCAUAUGAUCCCAAAUGGAAUACAAAGGCUAUAAUUCCAAAUACAGGCAGAGACAGCUGGAGGUUUGAGUCCUACAGGGUAAAAAGAGGCACCAAAUAGUCCAUGCAUGCAUGUGGGGUGUGGGGGGGCAUUCAAUCAGAGUCUGUAAGGGCUGGAUUUAUAGGUUCUGUUAAAAGAAAAAAGAAAGAAGUCUGGACCUAAAUAACCCCAUAGCAAUAACUUACAGGAGGUGAGUAGAAGCUCUCUGCUCUAGGUGGAGUUUUCAUUCAUCCUGUCUACAUCAUGUUUUUAUGUAAUUGCCUUUGCAUUUGUAGCCUUUGGACUUUCUCAUCUCUGCUAAGGGUCACAGUAAAAACAAAUGAAUAAUUAAUGCUAUUCAAAGCAGAAGUCAGCUGCCCAGGCCCCCGCACGUACAUCACACCUGUUCUCCCUGGCAUAGGGUGGGUGACAUGCUUCUUUAGGAAAAACCAUGCAUGUCAACUACUACUUCUCAUGUCCAAGGCUAGGAAGAAAUGGUGCUGCCCAGUAGAGAUUUUUCUCCUACUUGCCUCCUCCAAUGCCUGUUGCCAUUUAUACUGUUGUUUUUCUGGAAAAGUCCUUAUUAGUGUAUCACCUUUCCAAGGUGAUUUCUGUUCUAUAAAGUCAUAUCUGAACCUUGACAUACCUUGAGAACCUUGAGAAAAAAUGAAUUAGUUUUAAGAUAUUCAUUCUUCUUUAACAAUCACAUGCUCGGAUGGGUCGACACUGAAGAGUAAGCAUCCCAUCUCCCCUCCAACCUGAAGUUUGGCAGAAACCUGCCUGGCUUCUGUGGUCAACAGAAUUGUGUGGCAAUCUGGGGAUUCUGCAACAACGUGAGCGCACAGAAACCCCUGAACAUGCACACAUAGUCCACAGACAACCCCAGUAAAUUAUUCAAAUGAAUACCAACCAGUGCUGUGAUCAUUUAAUAAAAAACUUGGUUUGAAUACUUACAUAUGUGUUUCCCAUUAGUGUGCAUUUUCCAGUUCGCUGCAGUGAAAGGUAGCAGACUGAAUGCCAGGGUGUGGAAAAGAGUAAACAGUUCUGCUGUUUUGCAGUAGGAACUGGCCAGGGAAAGCUGACACCCUGCGAAACACACCCAGCUCCUGCUUCCCUAAGCUGGAAAAGAUGACCUCUGGCCUCUCUUUGUGAAGUCUAGUUUCACUGAAGAGGGGCAAAAAAGAGAUUUGUGACCACCAGGAAAAGAGUCAAGAGGACUUGUUCAUCUGCAAACAAUGCAGUCUUCUGGACUAUGCUUUGGAUAUCUGGAAAGCUAAGAUUCUCUGCCCAAAUGGGCCUGAGAUCCCAGGGACUGUACAAACCUGAGAAGUGGCCAGAAGGCAACUGUUUUUGGGAACAGUGGACAGAGGUUGGACCCGACAGCUGGUGUGUCCACAUGCCAGUGUACAAGGCCCUCUACAGUGUGAGGGUGAAGAGGAAGUAGACAGAGUGAGAGCUCCUGGUCUCCCAGUACCACAGCAUUCUGGCCUGGAAUUUUAAGAGUUCAAGAAUUCUAAGUUUGAACCAGGCCUUCCAGGCCCUUACGCAGUUGUAUCUGUCAAGGCAUUCAGUAACAGCAUAUUUUGAGAACAAUUUGACGACCUGAUUUAUAACCUUACAAAUGGUACUUGGCCUCCAUUUGUACUAUUAUCCUGAGAAGUUCAGGAGGACUAAAGACUGAAUAUACCUAGCCAAUGAGUUUAUAUUAU